UACAGAGGUGGCAAGCGUUGUUCGGAAUUACUGGGCGUAAAGGGCUCGUAGGUGGCCAACUAAGUCAGACGUGAAAUCCCUCGGCUUAACCGGGGAACUGCGUCUGAUACUGGAUGGCUUGAGUUUGGGAGAGGGAUGCGGAAUUCCAGGUGUAGCGGUGAAAUGCGUAGAUAUCUGGAGGAACACCGGUGGCGAAGGCGGCAUCCUGGACCAACACUGACACUGAGGAGCGAAAGCCAGGGGAGCAAACGGG
rnacentral:rRNA from 1 species